GAUAAGACAGCUGAAUGAUAGUCGGGCUGAAGACUCUACUUGACUAGCUGAGAGGAGGUGCAUGGCCGUCGUCAGUUCGUACUGUGAAGCAUCCUGUUAAGUCAGGCAACGAGCGAGACCCACGCCAACAGUUGCCGGCUCGUCCUCCGGGAUGGUGGGGACACUGUUGGGACCGCCUCUGCUAAAGAGGAGGAAGGAAUGGGCAACGGUAGGUCAGCAUGCCCCGAAUUAUCUGGGCUACACGCGGGCUACAAUGGGUGGGACAAUGGGUAUCGACACCGAAAGGUGAAGGCAAUCUCCUAAACCCAUCCGUAGUUCGGAUUGUGGGCUGCAACUCGCCCACAUGAAGCUGGAAUCUGUAGUAAUCGUGUCUCAAAAUGGCACGGUGAAUAUGUCCCUGCUCCUU
rnacentral:rRNA from 1 species